AGUGAACGCUGGCGGUAGGCCUAACACAUGCAAGUCGAACGGGAGCACAGUAAGAGCUUGCUCUUACGGGUGGCGAGUGGCGGACGAGUGAGGCAUACAUUGGAAUUUACUUUUUCGUGGGGGAUAUCGUAGGGAAACUUACGUUAAUACCGCAUACGACCUACGGGUGAAAGCACGGGAUCUUCGUACCUUGCGCGAUUGAAUGAGCCGAUGUCGGAUUAGCUAGUUGGCGGGGUAAUGGCCCACCAAGGCGACGCUCCGUAGCUGGUCUGAGAGGAUGAUCCGCCACCCUGGAACUGAGACACAGUCCAGACUCCUACGGGAGGAAGCAGUGGGGAAUAUUAGACGAGGGGCGAAAGCCUAAUACAGCCAUACCGCGUGAGUGAAGAAGGCCUUCGGGUUGUAAAGCCAUGUUGUUGGGAAAGAAAAGCAGCAGGUUAAUACGCCGCUGUUCUGACGGUACCCAAAGAAUAAGCACCGGCUAACUUCGUG
rnacentral:rRNA from 1 species